rnacentral:rRNA from 1 species
UUAAGCGACUAAGCGUACACGGUGGAUGCCCUGGCAGUCAGAGGCGAUGAAGGACGUGCUAAUCUGCGAUAAGCGUCGGUAAGGUGAUAUGAACCGUUAUAACCGGCGAUUUCCGAAUGGGGAAACCCAGUGUGUUUCGACACACUAUCAUUAACUGAAUCCAUAGGUUAAUGAGGCGAACCGGGGGAACUGAAACAUCUAAGUACCCCGAGGAAAAGAAAUCAACCGAGAUUCCCCCAGUAGCGGCGAGCGAACGGGGAGCAGCCCAGAGCCUGAAUCAGUGUGUGUGUUAGUGGAAGCGUCUGGAAAGGCGCGCGAUACAGGGUGACAGCCCCGUACACAAAAAUGCACAUGCUGUGAGCUCGAUGAGUAGGGCGGGACACGUGGUAUCCUGUCUGAAUAUGGGGGGACCAUCCUCCAAGGCUAAAUACUCCUGACUGACCGAUAGUGAACCAGUACCGUGAGGGAAAGGCGAAAAGAACCCCGGCGAGGGGAGUGAAAAAGAACCUGAAACCGUGUACGUACAAGCAGUGGGAGCACGCUUAGGCGUGUGACUGCGUACCUUUUGUAUAAUGGGUCAGCGACUUAUAUUCUGUAGCAAGGUUAACCGAAUAGGGGAGCCGAAGGGAAACCGAGUCUUAACUGGGCGUUAAGUUGCAGGGUAUAGACCCGAAACCCGGUGAUCUAGCCAUGGGCAGGUUGAAGGUUGGGUAACACUAACUGGAGGACCGAACCGACUAAUGUUGAAAAAUUAGCGGAUGACUUGUGGCUGGGGGUGAAAGGCCAAUCAAACCGGGAGAUAGCUGGUUCUCCCCGAAAGCUAUUUAGGUAGCGCCUCGUGAAUUCAUCUCCGGGGGUAGAGCACUGUUUCGGCAAGGGGGUCAUCCCGACUUACCAACCCGAUGCAAACUGCGAAUACCGGAGAAUGUUAUCACGGGAGACACACGGCGGGUGCUAACGUCCGUCGUGAAGAGGGAAACAACCCAGACCGCCAGCUAAGGUCCCAAAGUCAUGGUUAAGUGGGAAACGAUGUGGGAAGGCCCAGACAGCCAGGAUGUUGGCUUAGAAGCAGCCAUCAUUUAAAGAAAGCGUAAUAGCUCACUGGUCGAGUCGGCCUGCGCGGAAGAUGUAACGGGGCUAAACCAUGCACCGAAGCUGCGGCAGCGACGCUGAUGCGUUGUUGGGUAGGGGAGCGUUCUGUAAGCCUGCGAAGGUGUGCUGUGAGGCAUGCUGGAGGUAUCAGAAGUGCGAAUGCUGACAUAAGUAACGAUAAAGCGGGUGAAAAGCCCGCUCGCCGGAAGACCAAGGGUUCCUGUCCAACGUUAAUCGGGGCAGGGUGAGUCGACCCCUAAGGCGAGGCCGAAAGGCGUAGUCGAUGGGAAACAGGUUAAUAUUCCUGUACUUGGUGUUACUGCGAAGGGGGGACGGAGAAGGCUAUGUUGGCCGGGCGACGGUUGUCCCGGUUUAAGCGUGUAGGCUGGUUUUCCAGGCAAAUCCGGAAAAUCAAGGCUGAGGCGUGAUGACGAGGCACUACGGUGCUGAAGCAACAAAUGCCCUGCUUCCAGGAAAAGCCUCUAAGCAUCAGGUAACAUCAAAUCGUACCCCAAACCGACACAGGUGGUCAGGUAGAGAAUACCAAGGCGCUUGAGAGAACUCGGGUGAAGGAACUAGGCAAAAUGGUGCCGUAACUUCGGGAGAAGGCACGCUGAUAUGUAGGUGAAGUCCCUCGCGGAUGGAGCUGAAAUCAGUCGAAGAUACCAGCUGGCUGCAACUGUUUAUUAAAAACACAGCACUGUGCAAACACGAAAGUGGACGUAUACGGUGUGACGCCUGCCCGGUGCCGGAAGGUUAAUUGAUGGGGUUAGCCGCAAGGCGAAGCUCUUGAUCGAAGCCCCGGUAAACGGCGGCCGUAACUAUAACGGUCCUAAGGUAGCGAAAUUCCUUGUCGGGUAAGUUCCGACCUGCACGAAUGGCGUAAUGAUGGCCAGGCUGUCUCCACCCGAGACUCAGUGAAAUUGAACUCGCUGUGAAGAUGCAGUGUACCCGCGGCAAGACGGAAAGACCCCGUGAACCUUUACUAUAGCUUGACACUGAACAUUGAGCCUUGAUGUGUAGGAUAGGUGGGAGGCUUGGAAGUGUGGACGCCAGUCUGCAUGGAGCCGACCUUGAAAUACCACCCUUUAAUGUUUGAUGUUCUAACGUUGACCCGUAAUCCGGGUUGCGGACAGUGUCUGGUGGGUAGUUUGACUGGGGCGGUCUCCUCCUAAAGAGUAACGGAGGAGCACGAAGGUUGGCUAAUCCUGGUCGGACAUCAGGAGGUUAGUGCAAUGGCAUAAGCCAGCUUGACUGCGAGCGUGACGGCGCGAGCAGGUGCGAAAGCAGGUCAUAGUGAUCCGGUGGUUCUGAAUGGAAGGGCCAUCGCUCAACGGAUAAAAGGUACUCCGGGGAUAACAGGCUGAUACCGCCCAAGAGUUCAUAUCGACGGCGGUGUUUGGCACCUCGAUGUCGGCUCAUCACAUCCUGGGGCUGAAGUAGGUCCCAAGGGUAUGGCUGUUCGCCAUUUAAAGUGGUACGCGAGCUGGGUUUAGAACGUCGUGAGACAGUUCGGUCCCUAUCUGCCGUGGGCGCUGGAGAACUGAGGGGGGCUGCUCCUAGUACGAGAGGACCGGAGUGGACGCAUCACUGGUGUUCGGGUUGUCAUGCCAAUGGCACUGCCCGGUAGCUAAAUGCGGAAGAGAUAAGUGCUGAAAGCAUCUAAGCACGAAACUUGCCCCGAGAUGAGUUCUCCCUGACCCUUUAAGGGUCCUGAAGGAACGUUGAAGACGACGACGUUGAUAGGCCGGGUGUGUAAGCGCAGCGAUGCGUUGAGCUAACCGGUACUAAUGAACCGUGAGGCUUAACCUU